AGUGAACGCUGGCGGUAGGCCUAACACAUGCAAGUCGAACGGCAGCACAGUAAGAGCUUGCUCUUACGGGUGGCGAGUGGCGGACGGGUGAGGAAUACAUCGGAAUCUACUUUUUCGUGGGGGAUAACGUAGGCAAACUUACGCUAAUACCGCAUACGACCUACGGGUGAAAGCAGGGGAUCUUCGGACCUUGCGCGAUUGAAUGAGCCGAUGUCGGAUUAGCUAGUUGGCGGGGUAAAGGCCCACCAAGGCGACGAUCCGUAGCUGGUCUGAGAGGAUGAUCAGCCACACUGGAACUGAGACACGGUCCAGACUCCUACGGGAGGCAGCAGUGGGGAAUAUUGGACAAUGGGCGCAAGCCUGAUCCAGCCAUACCGCGUGGGUGAAGAAGGCCUUCGGGUUGUAAAGCCCUUUUGUUGGGAAAGAAAAGCAGCAGGUUAAUACCCCGCUGUUCUGACGGUACCCAAAGAAUAGGCACCGGCUAACUUCGUG
rnacentral:rRNA from 1 species